rfam:Schistosoma mansoni strain Puerto Rico chromosome 1, complete genome
AGCUUUCCAAAUCCGUGCAGAGAUUUCGUCAGACACCGACCCACCAGGGUUGAUGGGACUUUCAAGAUAAGUAAACUG